AGAGUUUGAUCCUGGCUCAGAAUGAACGCUGGCGGCGUGCGUAACACAUGCAAGUCGAACGAGAAAUUCCGGGCUUGCUCGGGAGAGUAAAGUGGCGAACGGGUGAGUAACGCGUGGGUAACCUGCCCCUGAAUCUGGAAUAACUUCGCGAAAGCGAGGCUAAUACCGGAUAUUGUCCCAGGGACCUCGGUUCUUGUGAUGAAAGAUGACCUCUUCACGAAAGUUGUCGUUCAGGGAGGGGCCCGCGUACCAUUAGCUAGUUGGUAGGGUAAUGGCCUACCAAGGCGAUGAUGGUUAGCUGGUCUGAGAGGAUGACCAGCCACACUGGCACUGAAACACGGGCCAGACUCCUACGGGAGGCAGCAGUGAGGAAUUUUGCGCAAUAGCGGAAACCCUGACGCAGCAACGCCGCGUGAGUGAAGAAGGCCCUCGGGUCGUAAAGCUCUGUCAAGUGGGAAAAAAGCUUGUUGGUAAAUAGCCAGCAAGACUGAUGGUACCAUUGAAGGAAGCACCGGCUAACUCCGUGCCAGCAGCCGCGGUAAUACGGAGGGUGCAAGCGUUGUUCGGAAUUACUGGGCGUAAAGGGCGUGCAGGCGGUGUGGUAAGUCAGAUGUGAAAGCCCUGGGCUCAACCCAGGAAGUGCAUUUGAAACUGCCAUGCUUGAGUAUGGGAGAGGAGAGUGGAAUUCCCAGUGUAGAGGUGAAAUUCGUAGAUAUUGGGAGGAACACCCGUGGCGAAGGCGACUCUCUGGACCAAUACUGACGCUGAGGCGCGAAAGCGUGGGGGAGCAAACAGGAUUA
rnacentral:rRNA from 1 species